AAUAAUUUGAAUUAUUUACUAAUUAUAUUAGCUUGGGUGAAAAAAAAAUACUAAAAAUGAUAAAACUGCUAUUGAUUUUUUCCAUCACGGUACCAAUAUUCCAAUUCGACGAGAAUGACAGCAUCAAAGAAAAGAAAUGUAUUACAAUAUAUAUUAGCUAUAGAUAUUCAAUAUUUCUUUUUAACUAAUUAACAUUGAAGAAUUAGAUGAAAAUACUUAUACAUUCAUAUAACUCUAAAUAAACCAUUUAUAGCCUAUUUAA